rnacentral:rRNA from 1 species
GACGAACCGAGCGAACGUUGUUCGGAAUCACUGGGCUUAAAGGGCGCGUAGGCGGGCUGCCGCGUCCGGGGUGAAAUCCCACGGCUCAACCGUGGAACGGCCCCGGGUACGGGCGGCCUCGAGGGGGGUAGGGGCGUGCGGAACUGUGGGUGGAGCGGUGAAAUGCGUAGAUAUCGUUUGGAACGCCAAUGGUGAAAACAGGUCGCUGGGAGUGUGCUGACGCUGAGACACGAAAGCCAGGGGAGCGAACGGG